rnacentral:misc_RNA from 1 species
GAUGAAGAACGCAGCGAAAUGCGAUAAGUAGUGUGAAUUGCAGAAUUCAGUGAAUCAUCGAAUCUUUGAACGCACAUUGCGCCCUUUGGUAUUCCUUAGGGCAUGCCUGUUCGAGCGUCAUUUAAACCUUCAAGCUCAGCUUGGUGUUGGGUGACUGUCCGCUUCACCGCGGACUCGCCUCAAAAUUAUUGGCGGCCGGUACAUUGGCUUCGAGCGCAGCAGAAACGCGAACUCGGGCCCGUCGUAUUGGCUCCCAGAAGCUAUCUUCACAAUUUUGACCUCGGAUCAGGUAGGGAUACCCGCUGAACUUAAGCAUAUAAUAAGCGGAGGA